UACGUAGGGUGCGAGCGUUGUCCGGAAUUAUUGGGCGUAAAGAGCUCGUAGGCGGUGUGUCACGUCGUUCGUGAAAACCUGCAGCUUAACUGUGGGCGUGCGGUCGAUACGGGGCAUCACUGGAGUUCGGCAGGGGGAGACUGGAAUUCCUGGUGUAGCGGUGAAAUGACGCAGAUAUCAGGAGGAACACCGGUGGCGAAGGCGGCUACCUGGGACCAGCACUGACACUGAGGCACGAAAGCGUGGGGAGCAAACAGG
rnacentral:rRNA from 1 species